AUUUGUGCAUAAGGUAAAACUUUUCCUUUAAAUUGCAUAUAACCUUAACAAACCUACCUCUCAACCGCAAAUUCUCCCCGCUUUAAGGUGCAACAACGCAGCAGACCUUGAAAAUAUGCACCGCAAAGACAUUUCGCUGGAAGAAUGUUGGGACAGCGCAGGAAGAUGUUCGCUUCAUUCCACCCAGUAAUAGUAGGUCAUUAAUUUCCUGUCAGUAUUUGCUCCAGCAAAGCAUUUUCAGUUUGCAGUUUUUACACCACCUCACACCGCUACGGAGCGUGUCAAGGUAAAACAGAGCAAAUGGAAAGCUGCGGUACUUGUCACAUUUGUCUGCGUUGUCCCCGAACGAGUCGCUCUGGCACUUGCUCCAGUGAGAUGCUCGAGCAGUAACUGUUUCAAGGUUCCGGUGGGCAGCGCUGGGACGCUCUAGGACGCUUCUUUCGGUGCCGUCAGUUUCGUUUGGAUGAUUCAAUCAGAACCGCGGAGUGAAUGUGAAGCAAGACAAUAAAAGAAUCUUCACAACAAACAGGAUGCCCUGCCCUGUCCUAUUUUAGGCUAACCCAGCAGGAUUUCUUUCGCCUCCCCCCAGCUCAUCCCACGGAGCAGGAAUUUCGCUUUUCUUUCCACAUAGCAGGAAGUUUGUACCGUUCUAGCCUCCUGUGGUUCGCCCACAUUUUAUCCCUGAUGGACAUCGCGCUAUCGGACAUCGUACCGCCCAGCUAGUGACAGUUUAAGCUGCUCAGUACCAAGCCGUGCGGACCUGAAGCUUUGCCAGACAGGCUGCAAAUUUGUUACACGACCCGGCACUCUCUAAUGGGCCUCGCCUGGACCACGCAGGGCUGGGCAAUGACUGCCGACUACGACUACUCCAGCUGCCGGUUGCGAUGGGCAGGCGGAUGAACAUUCAUUAAUCAAACAGUGUCCAUUAAUAAACGGGAUUUGCGAUGUGAUGUUGUUUUCCACCCGUGGGAAUUGGGAGGUUGGCCGUUGUUUCGGAAGAAAAAAAAAAACAAUCGCAUGUCGCUUUUGGGGAGCCUGUCCAUUAAGUGACGUUUUCCUGUGUCUGUAUCUUGUAAUGCACUACAAGACUUUGAGGCGUUUAUCUGCAAAAUAAUGUUUGUUUAAAACACUG